rnacentral:tRNA from 1 species
CGGAAUUCCGCGGUUUGCCUACGGCCUUCUAAGCCGAUGGUCGCAGGUUCGAAUCCUGCCACUCCGACCA